AGGGAAUCUUCCACAAUGGACGCAAGUCUGAUGGAGCAACGCCGCGUGAGUGAAGAAGGCUUUCGGGUCGUAAAACUCUGUUAUUGAAGAAGAACGUGUGUGACAGUAACUGGUCAUGCAGUGACGGUAUUCAAUCAGAAAGUCACGGCUAACUACGUGCCAGCAGCCGCGGUAAUACGUAGGUGGCAAGCGUUGUCCGGAUUUAUUGGGCGUAAAGCGAGUGCAGGCGGUCUUUUAAGUCUGAUGUGAAAGCCUUCGGCUUAACCGAAGAAGGGCAUCGGAAACUGGGAGACUUGAGUGCAGAAGAGGAGAGUGGAACUCCAUGUGUAGCGGUGAAAUGCGUAGAUAUAUGGAAGAACACCAGUGGCGAAGGCGGCUCUCUGGUCUGUAACUGACGCUGAGGCUCGAAAGCGUGGGUAGCAAACAGGAUUAGAUACCCUGGUAGUCCACGCCGU
rnacentral:rRNA from 1 species